rnacentral:lncRNA from 1 species
UCGUUCUUUGUCUGACGUAAUUUGUGCUGCAUGAUCUUGCAUAUCAAGUGCAAUGUUGAUCCUAGGCUUAUAUAUCCCUUCUUUACAACAUGUAAAUUCUUGUCUGCUAAUCUCCGUACUUCUGAAGGAUCGACAAGAUGAUCUCUUCCGAAUACCAAAACCUUUCUUAUAUGCAUAUUGGUUGUAGGCUUCCAUUACUUCUUCUUGAGUUUCGAAGACCAUACUUUCAUGCAACGUCAAACCUUCAGCAUUUUCAAGUCUAGACUCUGCUAAAUACAAUCUUCUCUCUCAAAAGCCCUCUCUAUAUGAUCAUCAUGGAAUGAGUUUGGAGUGUCAUCGAAUGAAACGUGAUCAUGCACAUUGCUUUCUCCUCUUACAAAAGUAGUUGGUGUGCUAAAGAUACCUAUCAUGUUGUCAUCGUACAUAAUUUCUACAUCCAUGAUAUGUGUAAUUCAAUUUACUUACUGGUAAUGAAUUAUAGUUACUAUAAGUGGUAUUCAUUCAAAUGCAUAACUCAAUUUUACUGAUGUAUAUUAAACUAAGAUCGUAUUAAAUAUCAGCUUUCA